GUGGAUCAGUGGCGAACGGGUGAGUAACACGUGAGCAACCUGCCCCUGACUCUGGGAUAAGCGCUGGAAACGGCGUCUAAUACUGGAUAUGAGCUGCGACCGCAUGGUCAGCAGUUGGAAAGAUUUUUCGGUCUGGGAUGGGCUCACGGCCUAUCAGCUUGUUGGUGAGGUAAUGGCUCACCAAGGCGUCGACGGGUAGCCGGCCUGAGAGGGUGACCGGCCACACUGGGACUGAGACACGGCCCAGACUCCUACGGGAGGCAGCAGUGGGGAAUAUUGCACAAUGGGCGAAAGCCUGAUGCAGCAACGCCGCGUGAGGGAUGACGGCCUUCGGGUUGUAAACCUCUUUUAGCAGGGAAGAAGCGAAAGUGACGGUACCUGCAGAAAAAGCGCCGGCUAACUACGUGCCAGCAGCCGCGGUAAUACGUAGGGCGCAAGCGUUAUCCGGAAUUAUUGGGCGUAAAGAGCUCGUAGGCGGUUUGUCGCGUCUGCUGUGAAAUCCCGAGGCUCAACCUCGGGUCUGCAGUGGGUACGGGCAGACUAGAGUGCGGUAGGGGAGAUUGGAAUUCCUGGUGUAGCGGUGGAAUGCGCAGAUAUCAGGAGGAACACCGAUGGCGAAGGCAGAUCUCUGGGCCGUUACUGACGCUGAGGAGCGAAAGGGUGGGGAGCAAACAGGCUUAGAUACCCUGGUAGUCCACCCCGUAAACGUUGGGAACUAGUUGUGGGGUCCAUUCCACGGAUUCCGUGACGCAGCUAACGCAUUAAGUUCCCCGCCUGGGGAGUACGGCCGCAAGGCUAAAACUCAAAGGAAUUGACGGGGACCCGCACAAGCGGCGGAGCAUGCGGAUUAAUUCGAUGCAACGCGAAGAACCUUACCAAGGCUUGACAUAUACGAGAACGGGCCAGAAAUGGUCAACUCUUUGGACACUCGUAAACAGGUGGUGCAUGGUUGUCGUCAGCUCGUGUCGUGAGAUGUUGGGUUAAGUCCCGCAACGAGCGCAACCCUCGUUCUAUGUUGCCAGCACGUAAUGGUGGGAACUCAUGGGAUACUGCCGGGGUCAACUCGGAGGAAGGUGGGGAUGACGUCAAAUCAUCAUGCCCCUUAUGUCUUGGGCUUCACGCAUGCUACAAUGGCCGGUACAAAGGGCUGCAAUACCGUGAGGUGGAGCGAAUCCCAAAAAGCCGGUCCCAGUUCGGAUUGAGGUCUGCAACUCGACCUCAUGAAGUCGGAGUCGCUAGUAAUCGCAGAUCAGCAACGCUGCGGUGAAUACGUUCCCGGGUCUUGUACACACCGCCCGUCAAGUCAUGAAAGUCGGUAACACCUGAAGCCGGUGGCCCAACCCUUGUGGA
rnacentral:rRNA from 1 species